UCUCCGUAGGUGAACCUGCGGAGGGAUCAUUACCAGAGAUGGCGGGCCUCCGUGCCCCCGUCCCCAACCCAUUGUUGGCCAAAACCUUUUUGCCUCGGGGGCAGAGCGUCCGCCGCCGCCCCCGGAGGACCACCGAACGCUGUCUCUGUACGUCGGAGUAUUGAUUAAAUGAAUGAAAACUUUCAACAACGGAUCUCUUGGUUCUG
rnacentral:misc_RNA from 1 species